ACGGGGGGAGCAAGCGUUGUUCGGAAUUACUGGGCGUAAAGGGCGUGUAGGCGGUCAGGUAAGUGGGAUGUGAAAUCCUCCGGCUCACCCGGAGACCUGCAUCCCAAACUGCCUGGCUUGAGUAUGGGAGAGGAUGAGGGAAUUCCUGGUGUAGCGGUGAAAUGCGUAGAUAUCAGGAGGAACACCGGUGGCGAAAGCGCUCAUCUGGCCCAAUACUGACGCUGAGGCGCGAAAGCUAGGGUAGCGAACGGGA
rnacentral:rRNA from 1 species